rnacentral:rRNA from 1 species
UGGGGAAUAUUGCACAAUGGGCGAAAGCCUGAUGCAGCGACGCCGCGUGAGGGAUGACGGCCUUCGGGUUGUAAACCUCUUUCAGUAGGGAAGAAGCGAAAGUGACGGUACCUGCAGAAGAAGCGCCGGCUAACUACGUGCCAGCAGCCGCGGUAAUACGUAGGGCGCAAGCGUUAUCCGGAAUUAUUGGGCGUAAAGAGCUCGUAGGCGGUUUGUCGCGUCUGCUGUGAAAGACCGGGGCUCAACUCCGGUUCUGCAGUGGGUACGGGCAGACUAGAGUGAUGUAGGGGAGACUGGAAUUCCUGGUGUAGCGGUGAAAUGCGCAGAUAUCAGGAGGAACACCGAUGGCGAAGGCAGGUCUCUGGGCAUUAACUGACGCUGAGGAGCGAAAGCAUGGGGAGCGAACAGG